rnacentral:rRNA from 1 species
UACGUAGGGUGCGAGCGUUAAUCGGAAUUACUGGGCGUAAAGCGUCCGCAGGUGGCACUUCAAGUCUGCUGUCAAAGACCGGGGCUUAACCCUGGAGAGGCAGUGGAAACUGAAGCGCUAGAGUGUCGUAGGGGUAGAGGGAAUUCCUGGUGUAGCGGUGAAAUGCGUAGAGAUCAGGAAGAACAUCGGUGGCGAAAGCGCUCUACUGGACGAUAACUGACACUCAGUGACGAAAGCUAGGGGAGCGAAUGGG